rnacentral:rRNA from 1 species
UACAGAGGUCCCGAGCGUUGUUCGGAUUUAUUGGGCGUAAAGGGUGCGUAGGCGGCGGAGUAAGUUGGAGGUGAAAGCCCGGAGCUCAACUUCGGAAUUGCCUUCAAGACUGUCUCGCUCGAGGCAGGGAGAGGAGAGCGGAAUACCCAGUGUAGAGGUGAAAUUCGUAGAUAUUGGGUGGAACACCGGUGGCGAAGGCGGCUCUCUGGCCCUGAUCUGACGCUAAGGCGCGAAAGCGUGGGGAGCAAACAGG